ACUGUUAACCGAGCAUUAACAGUGCGAGAGAGCGUCAGCUUACAAUGUUGCAUUUCUUUACAGUACAUUGGGCGAAAUGCAGCAGUACAUGCAAUGACUUUACGAUGCAAAUAAAAACUUAGCUUUGGCUUUCAUAGCAUAAAAGAUGGUUUAAAAAUUAAGCGUAUGCGAAAGUACAAGCACAACCAGUUUGCCGCUCGAGCGCUAAAGACUAGCUAUAUGCUAAUUUAUUAAUCAUAAAGUAAAUUAUUUGUGUACUAGCUACAAGCAAUGUCCAUAACUAUUAUAUUACUAUUACUUAUUAGUGUGCAAACUAAUAACCUGCGAAUAUUUAGAAAACCUGUUGUUUCCUUUAUGAUAUUUACAUAUAGUCGCAAAAGUUGAAACUACAACUUUUUUUCCUUGCGCGCAAAACUGCAAUCCUAGUCCACUGUUCAUAUAACAGUCCAUUGAAAUGGCACAAAACAUGAAAUUCGUGUUUACAUGGGCACAAUAGUGUCUUCAUUUUUCACAAAUUGUAAAUAAAACAAGAAGAGAUCAAUUUGGCGCUACUCAAAUGGUAAUGUUGCCCAAAUAGCUUUAGAAAAUAACAAUUUAAUCAUGUUCUCCGAAUUAAGCUGUUAAUUGCAGUUUAGAAAAAUUCAAACCGCAACUACUAAGAUAGUUAUUGAAUUCGGACACCCAAGAGAGGAAUCUCAUUCUCAAUCUCGUUGCGGUUCUCUCUCUCCGCCCGCCGAACUGUGAACUGUGUAUUAUGCCAAUAAUUCGAUCCUUGUGAGGCUCGUGCGGCGAUAUGCUUUCAGGAACUGGAACCGACAUUAUGGCCCCCAAUUAUGAGCCCUACUAACUGGGCUUUCGUUCGUUCCAAUUCUAGGCAAUACGUCACAGGCCAGGUAAAUUGAUUGAUGCGAAUGGAGGUUUAUUGCUUAAUGGUUUGUUUUCGAUUCUGUGCGAUCCCAAAGUGAGACAUGUGAUCGAGCACGGGCAACACUCGAUAGUGAGGAACAAAUGGCAUUAACCAAACAAAACCGCUCAUCUCUUAUUCAUAACUUGUAUGUGCUUUUGCCCCACUGUUUCCUUUAAACUCCACUUAUCGGUUGUAAAUAGAAAUAUUCAUAUAUUACCUAGGCUUGAACUGAAAAUGUAUAUAAAAAAAAUCACUAAAUAAAAUAUAUAAUUUUCUUCCUGCUUCCGCAAUUUGUCUCUUCCCAAAUACUAGAAUAAAUCCAAAGACAUUCGGAAAACUUGGUGGCAAAUUCGAAUGUGCAAUAAAUUGAUUGCCUUUCGGAAAUUGCAGGGGAAGCUGAAAAAUGAAUGCGACCUACGUAAAUGAUUGAUACAAAAAAAUUGCAAGUUUCGGUGGAGCACCUAAAAAUAAAAUAGCUCGCUUUGAAAAUGGGAGCACGAAUGAUAUUUGUAUUUUUAGCAGCGCUAGAAUAUUUCGCUUGUGCAAAUAUUUGCCAGUGACGUACUGAUACUGCCUGGGUCGUAUUAAAUUGCCUCGAAUAAUGUCCAAUUUAAAAUUGGAAUUCUAUUCUAUGAAAAUGAGUAUUUCUAUUAUACUGGUUGAAUUGUCAAUGGAACACCCAAUGAGAGAGAAAUGCACCUUUACAAUUGCAAUUGGAGAAAUGUAACUGAUUUCUCAAUUAACUCGAGCAACACACCUACAUACAUACGUACAUACAUAUGUAUGUAAUUAGCAUUAAGUUUCUGCUGUAAUUAAACACUGAAGGAGUCAACAAAUCACGCACAUCAGUUAACGAGCUUUUUCCCAUUUAAAUUCCCCUUCUUGUUGUCUUCCAAUUGAAGUGCAUCAGCACAGCCUAAUAAUCAUAUAAUUAGAUGGCCAAAGACCUUGUCUUCAUACCAACUAACUUGGCCCUUAGGUAAUUCAACUACUGCAGAGAAGAGAAAAUGUGUGGUUACUUGUGGAGUAAGUUUUGGAGACUUUUUGGUUUGUAGACUUAACAUAGAUCAUUAGUUUCUAACGGUGUACGACAACCAUUUUUAAUACUACAAAACACUUCAUCCAAUGGAUCGAUAGAGGAC